GGAGAUGUAGCUCAAUUGGUAGAGUGCUUGUCUCGAAGUACAAAGCCUGGGGUUUGAUUUCUCAGCAUCACCA
rnacentral:tRNA from 1 species